rnacentral:lncRNA from 1 species
GAGUUAAUGGGUUAUUAUUGGCAAGGAAAAUACAGUUGGGCAGGGACGGUGGAGCCUGGUAAGGAGGGACUUUGAAAAGCAGUGAGGAGUUUAAAUUUGGCUCUGAAAGCAGGAGAUCAGCAACACUUUGCAAGGCCUGAGUCUAACCUUCCUUUCAUCAACAGGCCAUUGAACACGUGAGCAGACCACAGUCUUUUCUCCUACAGAGGCUGAAGCUAAAGUUGCUGGACAAUGCCAAGAACAAUGGAAGGAAGGAUGACAAGAAAUGAAGGGGUAAAAUGGAGCCCUGGCCGUGAGGAGAAUGCAAUGCUAUAAUAACAUAAAACAGAGAAAACAACAGAGAACUGUAUCUGAUACCAAGAAAUCUCUGAAACAUCAAAGAGUGGCUGGGAACAUCCACAGAAGAGUCUGGGAAAGUGAAGUUCCUCCUCUUCCUCUCCACAAAAGGAAGGAAACUGGAAACACGGGGACAGUUUUACACCUGACUUUAAUUGUCAGCCUAAGCCUUAAAUCAAUUUUCGAAGGAGAUAGGAUAUAAAUUGCAAAUAAAUAAAUAAUCAAGUCAACUCAUCUACUCUAGGAAUUGAUUUUCU